GAGAAUUGCCUGGGGAGCAAGAGAAGGACAUAGCGGGUAGUAUAUUAUGAUCCAGAAUUUAGUGGAUCAGCCUGAAGGAUGUGGUUCAUUGUACGCCAUGGAACUAUUCAGCCAGGACGCCGAUAUACUACAACUACCUCCUCCAGUUGUGACACUUCGUCACUAUAUAGCAGCCCACUUCUAGCACUUCUAUGACUCGCUUACUACUUUCAACUUCUCUUCUUUGUGCCCUUUUUCUGCAGGUUAGAGAUCUUGUCCUUCACGCUACGAAGUUCAGCCAUAACAAAAAUUCGCAUCCUGCAGCUCUAGCAUCUUUCCAGUGAGCGUUAAUUCGUGGGAAGUCAUUCAGAAUCUAGCUCUUUGUUCAACCUUUCCUAGGGCUCAUACCCACUGUGAAGCAUGAGCUUGUGAUUUGUCUCCUGCCAGCUGAAAGUUGUGCUAGAAAUCCAUGUCAACAAGCGAAUUUCUUGAUCGGAAGUACUAUUGUUGGAGUUCAGGGGAAUUAGUGGAUAGCUGAUAUGACGGGGAUGUUUACAAUGCCUCUGUGAAUGGAUUGUCAUGAGUUGAGAAAUUGAACUACGUGUGUCCAUCGUUCUUCCCGAAGCUAAAGUCUCAAUCAGGUUACACUCCGAACGCAACGACAGGCAAAAAGCCGUCGAUUAAUCAUCCUGGCUCGUGGAAGUUGAUUUCGAUUAAACAGAUUGCUUGUUCCUCUCCCUCAAAGGCUUCCAACAACAGGUACUUGGUCUUGUUUUCACCAGCAAAGCUAAGGCCCGUCCCAGAUGUUAGAAGCCUCUGGGGGUGACGAAGCAGCAGCUGUAUGGGUGGUUCCCAUACUACAAAACACAUCCCAAUCUUCAAGUUCUUCUCGGUGAUCAACAUACGGUUACUAAUUCUUCUAACUUCCGCCGAUAAAUAGAGAUCAAUCAAGCUUCUAUGCUGACCCGUCCGGAAGAUCACAAUACCAUUCGAUCGGCUUUGAGUUUGACAAUCAAGCCGAUGUAAUUGAGGUCAGUGAUCGGUUACAACAGCUUGCCCUGUUGAAAGAGCCAUUAAAGCCGGUGGCAGAUAUUACUAAAUAGGAUUUUGAUGAUGUGAACGUUGCCUUCUUUCAAGUAUUGUAAUUCGUCUGGUGUAUCUGUACCCUCCAAGAGAACUUGGUUCUUCAGAAUAAGAAGGCUCCGACAAGCUCGUGAAGUUGCGGCAAAAGGCGGUAAUGCAUGACACAAAAAAGGUAAUGCUGCAGCACUCGCACUCUAGGAUCGAAUCGUGUAAGUUUUGCAUUAACCUGAAGUCUUCAAGCUAGUCAGAAAGUAUGUAUCAUGGUGAUGAUAGUGUACAUGACAACGCAGUACCUUAAGCGUGCAAGUCAACAAGGCUUCAUACCACUGCUGACAUUGCUACACUCGUAAGACUUAAAAAUUUGCAUCAUAGACUAGGUCGUUGUCUAAAAAGCUGAGAAAUGCAUCUCUAAACAUGAUGGCUCAAAAGAUACACAGACUAGACAAUGGGUAACACCAGACUGCUUGCUCGGUGAUCCCAGGUUUUCAUAUGAUUAGAUAAAUCUCGGUCUACACAUCCAAGCCACGAUCAAAAUUUAUUCAUAAUUUAAAAAGGUGGAAGAUGCACAGCUAAGAUCAGUGCCAGGCUCGCAUAUAAUGGCAUACUCAACACCAUUAUGUAAGACAAUCAGACAAAUUGUACUACUUCUCCACAAAUGUCAAAAGAUCUUGUGAGAUUUAACCGCCGAGCUUUACUGACCUUAAAAGAAUUAUGUAACAGGAGAGUGUUAACUGCAUGGAAAAGCCUACCAGCCUCGUAACAGUCAACCAUCUUUUCUAGUGAUUCCUUAUAAUGGUAAUGCCGCAGCUGUUUGAUAAUUGUAUUACUGCUCAUCAAGUAGAUCGAUAAAGAAAAUCUUGACCAUUCAUUGAUAGUAAUCUGAGGAACUAUCAGUGAAGUAGCGGUGAUGUCGAGUAGAGAUAUACAACUGCUUUGAAAGUUGACUGUUUAUCGAAGAAUCCGUUACUGAUGA